rnacentral:rRNA from 1 species
GGCGUGCCUAACACAUGCAAGUCGAGCGAUGAANUUCCUUCGGGAAUGGAUUAGCGGCGGACGGGUGAGUAACACGUGGGUAACCUGCCUCAUAGAGGGGAAUAGCCUUCCGAAAGGAAGAUUAAUACCGCAUAAUGUAGUACCUUCGCAUGAAGGAACUAUCAAAAGAGCAAUCUGCUAUGAGAUGGACCCGCGGCGCAUUAGCUAGUUGGUGAGGUAACGGCUCACCAAGGCGACGAUGCGUAGCCGACCUGAGAGGGUGAUCGGCCACAUUGGAACUGAGACACGGUCCAGACUCCUACGGGAGGCAGCAGUGGGGAAUAUUGCGCAAUGGGGGAAACCCUGACGCAGCAACGCCGCGUGAAUGAAGAAGGCCUUCGGGUUGUAAAGUUCUGUCUUAUGGGAAGAUAAUGACGGUACCAUAGGAGGAAGCCACGGCUAACUACGUGCCAACAGCCGCGGUAAUACCUAAGUGGCAAGCGUUGUCCGGAUUUACUGGGCGUAAAGGAU